UACGAAGGGGGCUAGCGUUGCUCGGAAUGACUGGGCGUAAAGGGCGCGUAGGCGGUUUGGACAGUCAGAUGUGAAAUUCCUGGGCUCAACCUGGGGGCUGCAUUUGAUACGUUCGGACUAGAGUGGGGAAGAGGGUCGUGGAAUUCCCAGUGUAGAGGUGAAAUUCGUAGAUAUUGGGAAGAAUACCAGUGGCGAAGGCGUUCUGCUGGGCCGUUGCUGACACUGAGGCGCGACAGCGUGGGGAGCAAACAGG
rnacentral:rRNA from 1 species